CAUGACAAACUUGUAACAUGUAUACUGCCGAAAGUAUGAAUCAAGCAACCGUAGUGUCAUUGAAAAUGCUUAAUAUUUCUCUCAACAACAACAUGCUCUCAACACUCUUUUCCCUCAACAAAACAAACACAAUCCCCUCAUUCCCCUCACAAAAUAAGCACAAUCCCCUCUCUAUCCUCACAUAAGAAGCACAAUCCUCACCCUCUAUCACAUAGUAACUUUCUCAUCCGUUGAUCAUCAUCCUAUACUCCAAGAUAUCAAUGGCCACAAUUUUAACCCUUCCAUAACCCCAAAACCCAUAAGCUCUAUAUAAUAAUGUGCACUUGCCCACGAUCAGGAGCUCUUGUAUUCUUGGUUCAAAGUACUAAUCUCUUCUCCCGAUCUUAGAGAAGAGUAAAAUAAAUUUGGGUCACGACUGCAAGAGCUACUCGGUACACUUAUUACACUUUCCUGUAUAUCCAUAACAUGCACCCAAUAAUUUGUGUUGUUUUAGCAACCCUUUUAUGAAAACUCAACAACAACAUGUUCUGUAUUUCUUCUUUUCUUAUACUUUCUCUCUGAUUUUGAGAAAUGGUGUAUCUAUGUAAUUUGCUUUAAGACCGGUGUA
rnacentral:lncRNA from 1 species